GGGAGGCGAUAGAGCAUGGAGGCCAAUCGUUGAACCACUUGAGGGCUGUGUUAGAUACUUUUCUGAAAAUUUCAAUACUAUCUCGGUUCAAUGGCUCCACGCCUCCUUUUUCGAUCAGAUCUGAGAAUAUUCACUCCAAGCAGCCUUCACUCCAUAUCAGUUCCUCUUUCAGAUCUAAUUUUCCUCAUGUAGUCUCUAUCAAACUUGGUGGCGUCGGAUCUCUUAGCUUGGCAGCUCGUAUAUCACCCACCGUGGUGGCGCAUAGAUCAGCAACCGUAGUGGCGCCUAGCUCAACAACAAUGACAAAAAUAUCCGAAAACAAAUCGCCAAGCAACGUAGAGCAUACACAACAAAUCGCCAAGUAACGUAGAGCAUACAGG
rnacentral:lncRNA from 1 species